UAAGGAUUGUUGCAGGUGAACAAACGGCGAUUGCUUUGGAUUAUUACAAAGUUGUGUUAAAUCAUUAUGCACUAUGCCUUGUGAAGCAGCUCAUGCUUUCAUGACAUCGGGAUCCACCGAGACAACAGCUACCAAAGAAGAAUUAAAGCUGCUGCCGUAUAUAAAGCACUGCGCCACAAAAUUGCAUUUGACAUAUACAUUUUCUAUCUUCUCUGGAGCAAUGUACUCGCCUUGUGCCAACUUAAAGAUAAUCCUCUUCCUAUCAAUGAUUUUGAGACGACCGCCAGCUAUCCAUGUUCCAAUAUCUCCGGGGUUCGGCUGAUCAUCAGAUGUAUAGUUCACUUCCGGAACAUCUAUAAGUUUUAUCUCACAGCAUGGACUUGGGGAGCCAAACGAUUAUCCGCGGUUACGGGUCACAGUUGUGCUCGCUAUAAUGACAAUGCCGACAUUCACUUACGGUAAUUCAAGUGAUUCCAUUUGGCUUGCUGCUGUUAUGCUAACGUUUUU